AUUGAACGCUGGCGGCAGGCCUAACACAUGCAAGUCGAACGGUAACAGGAAGAAGCUUGCUUCUUUGCUGACGAGUGGCGGACGGGUGAGUAAUGUCUGGGAAACUGCCUGAUGGAGGGGGAUAUCUACUGGAAACGGUAGCUAAUACCGCAUAAUGUCGCAAGACCAAAGAGGGGGACCUUCGGGCCUCUUGCCAUCGGAUGUGCCCAGAUGGGAUUAGCUAGUAGGUGGGGUAACGGCUCACCUAGGCGACGAUCCCUAGCUGGUCUGAGAGGAUGACCAGCCACACUGGAACUGAGACACGGUCCAGACUCCUACGGGAGGCAGCAGUGGGGAAUAUUGCACAAUGGGCGCAAGCCUGAUGCAGCUAUGCCGCGUGUAUGAAGAAGGCCUUCGGGUUGUAAAGUACUUUCAGCGGGGAGGAAGGGAGUAAAGUUAAUACCUUUGCUCAUUGACGUUACCCGCAGAAGAAGCACCGGCUAACUCCGUG
rnacentral:rRNA from 1 species